UGAUUACUCAAUGAACUGAAAAUAGGACUACCAUUUGAUCUGGCAAUUCCAGUGCUUGGUUUCAACCCAAAGGAAAAGAAAUCAUUAUAUCUUUUUGAUACCUGGCCUUUCUUGUUAUUGCAGCACUAUUCACUAUGACAAAGAAAGGGAAUCAACCGAAGUGUCCAUCAAUGGAUGAAUGUAUAAAGAAAAUGUGGUAGAUAUAUACAAUGAAAUACUAUUUAGACAUAAAAAUGAAAUCAUGUCUUUUGCAGAGACAUGGAUGAAACUGAAGACCAUUAUCUUAAGUGAAACAACUCAGACAAAUAUCAUGUGGAAACUCACUGGGCUGAUGAAUGCAGUCUUCCUGAUGUGAAUGGGAUUGAAGAGCUUGUCAAAAAACAUAAAGCCAACUUCACCCUUGUCACUGAACUGAGACUUUUCAACCAAACCUGUUACACAGAAAAGAAAAUACCGAAAGAAUAUUCAUCAAUCUGUAAAUAGUGAUUAUCUGUGGGGUAUGUGUGGAAAAUUAUAGGAGACUUAAAUAUUCUACAUGAUAGAUUUUUAUAAUAGUUUAUUUUUAUAAUUAGUGUGUUAUGUUUGUAAUUAUAAAUCAACAACAGCAAAAU
rnacentral:lncRNA from 10 species